rnacentral:rRNA from 1 species
GACGAACGCUGGCGGCGUGCCUAAUACAUGCAAGUCGAACGCUUCUUUCCUCCCGAGUGCUUGCACUCAAUUGGAAAGAGGAGUGGCGGACGGGUGAGUAACACGUGGGUAACCUACCCAUCAGAGGGGGAUAACACUUGGAAACAGGUGCUAAUACCGCAUAACAGUUUAUGCCGCAUGGCAUAAGAGUGAAAGGCGCUUUCGGGUGUCGCUGAUGGAUGGACCCGCGGUGCAUUAGCUAGUUGGUGAGGUAACGGCUCACCAAGGCCACGAUGCAUAGCCGACCUGAGAGGGUGAUCGGCCACACUGGGACUUAGACACGGCCCAGACUCCUACGGGAGGCAGCAGUAGGGAAUCUUCGGCAAUGGACGAAAGUCUGACCGAGCAACGCCGCGUGAGUGAAGAAGGUUUUCGGAUCGUAAAACUCUGUUGUUAGAGAAGAACAAGGACGUUAGUAACUGAACGUCCCCUGACGGUAUCUAACCAGAAAGCCACGGCUAACUACGUG